rnacentral:rRNA from 1 species
AUGGGGAGCACCGGCGAGCCCGAUCGGAAGCGGCGGCUAUCUGGCUCCUUUGCGCAGGGUGUUGAUGCCGUACCUCCCGCCAAGCGCCCAGCGCUUCCGCCUUCAUCCGACGACAAGAAGCUUGAUUUUGCUGUAAUUAAAUACAGAAACCAAAAGCUUUCAGAACAGCUAGAAGUCCAUAAGUCUGAGUACCAUGCCCUCGAGGGUAAAUUUGAUGAUCUCAAACAGAAACAGAAGUCUCACCAUGAGACCCAAGAUCUUGUUAACAAGUCAUGGCAGCAUCUUGUGAGAGAUUUGAAGGCUAUCUCUGUUUGCAAAAGUGGAUCCCAAAAUUCUUCCUGCAGUGCAGUUCCUAGCAACGAGUCUACAGAUGGUGCAUGCAUCCGGAAAGACAAGGACUUCCUUAGCAGGCUCGUUGAGACAGGUGCCACAGAAAGUUCUGGUUGCCAUUUGGAAAACCACGUACACUCGUCAACUACUGAUGUGCUGCAGAAUAUCUUGUUCUCAUCAAAUGAUUCAUGGCAUGCAAACGAGAAGUUACCGUUAGAUCACUUUACUGCAUUACCCGAAGAUGAGCGCAUUAGGGAACUGCGAAGUACUGCUAGUGAGAUAUCACUAGAGCUUACUGAUGCUGUACGAGCACUUGGUGAUCUCCACUUGAAGCACAGACAGCUGACAGAGAAGCACCAUGAAGAGAGAUAUUUAAAUGCUCGAAGCAAAGCUGAACAGAAACGCCUUAAAGAGGAGUUGGCAAGUGCUGCUGCUGAGUUGGAAGAAAGCAACCACAAAUUGGCAGUUCUCAAAGCACAGGGAGACACGACACAUGGAACUCCAAUCUUAUUUCCAACUUUAGGAAAUAAAAGCUUCCCUCAGGAUAAUGUCAGAGACAAACAAAAGGAAUUGCAGGAUCUAGGGGCUUCUCACAAGGAGUUUACGGGUCUGAUUUCACAACGCCUGGCGGAAAUAAGGAGACUUCAUGAAGAGAGAAUUGAAAUUUUGAACAAGUUGGCUACUUUUCAGAACAUUUUGACGGAUUUGAAGAGCAUUUCUUCUUCAAAAGCUUUCCAAGUUCUGAAGGAUCAACUCCAGAAGUCACAAGCAGAGUUGGACCAAUGCCGGACACUAUUAGAGAAAUUACAGGUUAAUAAGGAUAAAUUGAUAUGGCAAGAAAGGGAAAUUAAUGUAAAAGUUGAUCUGUCUGGAAUUCCUCAUAGGGUAUCUCUCAAUUGUGAGUCAACCCUUGCAGUUUUAGAUCAGAAUCUGCGGAAAGUAGUUGAUGAAAAGAAUAUGCUUGCACUGAAACUUGAAGAAUCUUCGAGAGAACCUGGUCGGAACCAAACCAUAUCAGAAUUUAAAGCGCUGGUGUCAUCACUGCCAGAAGAAAUGGGCGCUAUGCAAACUGAACUAUCUAAGUACAAGGAUGAUGCUUCAGAAUUGCAUUCUUUACGAGCUGAAGUUCGCUCCAUUUCUGAUAUUCUGGCUAGAAAUGAGCAUGCCAUCAACGAAUCAUUAUGUAAAUCCACUCGUGCUGGACCUGAAGUAAGGGAUCUACGGUCCAGGGUUCAUGAACUAAGGCAAACGAAUUGCGAGUUAAAGCUCUUUGUGGAAAUGUAUAAGCGCGAAUCUACUGAUUCAAGAGAUGUGCUGGAGUCGAAAGAUAGAGAAUACUGUGAAUGGGCUCGUGCCCAUAGCCUCAAAUCUUCUCUUGAUGAUAGUAGGCUAGAACAGCGUGUUAAGGCAGCCAUCGAAGCUGAAGCAACGUCUCAGCAGAGACUUGCAAAUGGUGAAGCUCAGAUUGCUGAAUUAAGGGGGAAGAUGGAGAGUGCCAGAAGAGAUAUUGGUAGUUUAUCUGAAUUAUUGAAAUCAAAGCAUGAAGAAGGUGAAGCGUACCUGUCAGAGAUUGAGAGUAUUGGGCAAGCAUAUGAAGAUAUACAAACACAAAAUCAACAAUUGCUACAGCAAAUUAUCGAGAGAGAUGACCACAAUACAAAGAUCUUUAUGGAAGGCGUUAAGGUGAAACAGGCACAGGAUACUUUGCAUUUAGAGUUAUGCAAUCUGAACAGGAAUUUACGGCAGGCAAAGGGUUUGAUGGAUCUGUACAAAGAUAAAAUCUCCCAGUUAGACGACAAGUUAAAAGUUUGGUCAGAGCAGACAGCGAGACUUUCGGAGGAUGGACGGCGACAUUCUGUUUCUUCAGGCAAUGCUCAAAGAAAGCUGGCGGAUGUAUUGGGAGAGGCUCAACAAUUGAGACAGUCCAUGGAUCAAGUACAAUCCAAUGUUGGGAGGAGUCGACUAGAAGUUGCUGGACUUCUUGUAGAACUAGAGAAGGAUAGGUUUAGUAAGAGGAGAACUGAGGACGAUUUGGAAUCGUUAUCAAGGAAAGCUAGUUCUCUUAGAGCAAAGACAGAGGGAUCGUCGGUGUUGGAAAAGGUUCAUCAGGAGGUGAAUGAGUACAGGGGAAUAUUGAAAUGUGGUGUCUGUCGCGACCGACAGAAAGAGGUCGUGAUUACCAAGUGCUACCAUCUUUUCUGCAACGACUGUAUACAGAAGUUGCUCAGAAACCGCCAGCGAAGGUGCCCUUCCUGUGCAUUAAGCUUUGGGGCUAAUGAUGUGAAGCCGAUUUAUAUAUGA